rnacentral:rRNA from 1 species
AAAGUAGGUCUUAGUGAUCCGGCGAUUCCGCAUGGAAGGGUCGUCGCUCAACGGAUAAAAGGUACGCCGCGGAUAACAGGCUUAUCUCCCCCAAGAGUCAAUAUCGACGGGGCGGUUUGGCACCUCGAUGUAGGCUCAUCACAUAAUGGGGCUGGAGCAGGUCCCAAGGGUUUGGCUGUUCGCCAAUUAAAGCGGUACGCGAGCUGGGUUCAGAACGUCGUGAGACAGUUCGGUCCCUAUCUGCCAUGGGCGUUGGAUGUUUGAGGGGUCCUGCUUCUAGUACGAGAGGACCGGGAUGGACGAACCGCUGGUGUUCCUGUUGUCUCGCCAGAGGCAUAGCAGGGUAGCUACGUUCGGAAGGGAUAACCGCUGAAAGCAUCUAAGCGGGAAGCCCACCCUAAGAUAAGAUAUCCCGUGGUGAAUGCCACCUGAAGGCUCGUCGAAGACUACGACGUCGAUAGGCCAGGUGUGGAAGUGCAGUAAUGCAUGGAGCUAACUGGUACUAAUCAGCCGUGAGGCUUGGCCAUA